rnacentral:tRNA from 2 species
AGGGGGGAGGUGUUGACGGUGACACACACGACUCCAACUCGUGAGAACCGGGUUCGAACCCCGGCCCCCCUG